rnacentral:rRNA from 1 species
UACGUAGGGUGCAAGCGUUGUCCGGAAUUAUUGGGCGUAAAGAGCUCGUAGGUGGUCUGUUGCGUCGGCUGUGAAAACCCGGGGCUCAACCGUGUGGUCUGCAGUCGAUACGGGCAGGCUAGAGUUCGGUAGGGGAGACUGGAAUUCCUGGUGUAGCGGUGAAAUGCGCAGAUAUCAGGAGGAACACCGGUGGCGAAGGCGGGUCUCUGGGCCGAUACUGACGCUGAGGAGCGAAAGCGUGGGGAGCGAACAGG